AUUUUUGUCUAGACUUGUUUAGAUAAAAUUUAGUCUAUAAUGCAAAUGGCCAUUGUCUGAAUUUUUCACGAGGGGAGACAACCCAAAAAUGGCGUAUUUUGGCCUUCGCGAGAAAGUCUAACUCCGUACCUCUCUCUAUCCCACUGAUUUUUAUCCUCGCACGAUCCAUCGUUACACGUACAAUGUUCAUAUUCGUCCAUGCCCAUCCUCCAAUCAUCCCGAAAUAUCCAUCGCACUGGAUGAAGCUGUUGCCAUAGAGCCCAUCCCACGAGACCUCGGACCACUGCCUGCAAACUUGCGCACAGCGGCAGAGGUCGCGCGGCGAGAGAUAGAAGAAUAUCUGCAGUAAUAGUUCAUUUGGAAGUUUUGAGAAUUCAGAGUCUGAUAAUGUCAAGUUUUCUUGGUCGACGGCCGAGGUGCCUCCGAUUGUCUUUCAUCUCCGAUGUUAAAGUGUGCAAAUGCACUAUCUGUUGCGCAAGUUUUGUAGUUCCUUCUUGUGAAAUAGUUGAAAGUAAUGGUUGGAAUAUCUGAAACAAAGAUAUAUAAUAUAAUAUAAUAAAUGAUUGCAGGAAAAGACGAAAUUUUGAUCUAGACAAGAGGAAUGAAACCAUUACCAUAGCUGGAAAGAGCAUCU